UACGUAGGGGGCAAGCGUUGUCCGGAAUCAUUGGGCGUAAAGCGCGUGUAGGCGGCCCGGUAAGUCCGCUGUGAAAGUCGGGGGCUCAACCCUCGAAUGCCGGUGGAUACUGUCGGGCUAGAGUGCGGAAGAGGCGAGUGGAAUUCCUGGUGUAGCGGUGAAAUGCGCAGAUACCAGGAGGAACACCAAUUGCGAAGGCAGCUCGCUGGGACGUGACUGACGCUGAGACGCGAAAGCGUGGGGAGCAAACAGG
rnacentral:rRNA from 1 species